rnacentral:rRNA from 1 species
UACGGAGGGUGCGAGCGUUGUCCGGAAUCAUUGGGCGUAAAGGGCGCGUAGGUGGCCCGGUCAGUCUUUGGUGAAAGCGCGGGGCUCAACCCUGCGUCGGCCAGGGAUACUGCCGCGGCUCGAGCACUGUAGAGGCAGGCGGAAUUCCGGGUGUAGCGGUGGAAUGCGUAGAGAUCCGGAAGAACACCGGUGGCGAAGGCGGCCUGCUGGGCAGUUGCUGACACUGAGGCGCGACAGCGUGGGGAGCAAACAGG